UACGAAGGGGGCUAGCGUUGCUCGGAAUUACUGGGCGUAAAGCGCACGUAGGCGGCUUCUUAAGUCGGUGGUGGAAUCCUGGAGCUCAACUCCAGAACUGCCUUCGAUACUGGGAAGCUCGAGUCCGGGAGAGGUGAGUGGAACUGCGAGUGUAGAGGUGAAAUUCGUAGAUAUUCGCAAGAACACCAGUGGCGAAGGCGGCUCACUGGCCCGGUACUGACGCUGAGGUGCGAAAGCGUGGGGAGCAAACAGG
rnacentral:rRNA from 1 species